GGCAACGUGGCUGAGUGGUUAAAGCGUAUGACUAGAAUUAGAGUCCUUGACCUAAUAGUUCCAUCAUAUCCCUUCGGGGUCACAGGUUCGAGUCCUGUCGUUGUCG